rnacentral:ncRNA from 2 species
GAAGGGGCCUCUGGAGAAUCCCGCUCAGCGGGUGCCGAAGGGGCAAGGCGCACGUCCACCAUCGACGUGUAGCUGAAACUCUCAGGCAAAAGGACAGAGCAAAGCAU